GACGAACGCUGGCGGCGUGCUUAACACAUGCAAGUCGAACGAAGAGCGACGGAAGCUUGCUUCUAUCAAUCUUAGUGGCGAACGGGUGAGUAACGCGUAAUCAACCUGCCCUUCAGAGGGGGACAACAGUUGGAAACGACUGCUAAUACCGCAUACGAUCUAAUCUCGGCAUCGAGGAUGGAUGAAAGGUGGCCUCUACAUGUAAGCUAUCACUGAAGGAGGGGAUUGCGUCUGAUUAGCUAGUUGGAGGGGUAACGGCCCACCAAGGCGAUGAUCAGUAGCCGGUCUGAGAGGAUGAACGGCCACAUUGGGACUGAGACACGGCCCAGACUCCUACGGGAGGCAGCAGGGGGGAAUCUUCCGCAAUGGACGAAAGUCUGACGGAGCAACGCCGCGUGAGUGAUGACGGCCUUCGGGUUGUAAAGCUCUGUUAAUCGGGACGAAAGGCCUUCUUGCGAAUAGUGAGAAGGAUUGACGGUACCGGAAUAGAAAGCCACGGCUAACUACGUG
rnacentral:rRNA from 1 species